CUAAAUCGAUCACCACGCCCUGCAGCCAGCAGUACCAGCAACCGGCGGUAGCCUUGGCCUGGUUGGGAGGAAAGCUGUUGUGUAAAGGUUUUCUAAGACAACUUCACCACGAUAUGCUGAUGAGAAGAGAUACUGCCAGUCAAGAGUAUAUCAAGGUACACCCGAGAUCCCAAAAAAAUAACUUCCAAGUUGCAGAUUCACUAUACUGUUUUGAUUUGCUCUAGCAGAUUGCUACAAUCAUGUUACUAGAUCCCUUUGAAGAAGACGAUCAAUGCUACCAUCCACUGAAGAGAGUGGUGGCUGGGUCAGCCAUAUACGGGUGUCGUUGUUUUGGAGCUUGAGAGGCCAGAUCAAAGUCUACAUAAUUCAGUGGUUCUCAGUACAAUACAUGAGUGUGCAGGUUAGUUGGUUAGCGAAGUGAAGGAUUCGGGACGACCAUUGAUGUGUGCUCCAUCUUUGUGAACUAUUCUUUUGUCUCACAUACUACAUUUCGUAUGCUUCCUUAGUUUGAAGAUCAGAACAAUGAAGGUUCCUUACUAAGCAAUUACAUUAUUUGCUUUG